GUGCAGCAGGCGCGAAUACUGUGCAAUGCGCGAAAGCGCGACACGGGGAGCCUGAGUGCCUUGACUAAGUCAAGGCUUUUCUUAAGCCUAAAAAGCUUGAGGAAUAAGAGCUGGGUAAGACGGGUGCCAGCCGCCGCGGUAACACCCGCAGCCCGAGUGGUAGUCACUUUUAUUGAGCCUAAAGCGUUCGUAGCCGGUUUUGUAAAUCCUCAGAUAAAUUCUCCCGCUUAACGGGAGAUUCUCUGGAGAGACUGCGAAACUUGGGACCGGGUGAGGUUGAAGGUACUUCUGGGGUAGGGGUAAAAUCCUGUAAUCCUGGAAGGACGACCAGUGGCGAAGGCGUUCAACUAGAACGGAUCCGACGGUGAGGAACGAAGGCUAGGGGAGCAAACCGGAUUAGAUACCCGCGUAGUCC
rnacentral:rRNA from 1 species